rnacentral:tRNA from 1 species
GUUAAGGUGGCAGAGCCCGGUAAUUGCAAAAGACCUAAGCCCUUUCCAUAGAGGUUCAAAUCCUCUCCUUAACU